GAAAAAUUUGUCAAAAUCCGAUUCUUCCUCUUUUAACCGCCUCUACAACCCUUAUCCGACCCCUCUAGACUAUAUCCACCCUUUGUAUAGCCUAAUGUCAUCAAAAAACUAGAUAGGGACGGAUAUUUACCUUUUUCUUUUUGGAAAUCGAGGUCCUUGCGUAGAGGGGAAGGAGAUCUACGUUUUUCCCUUCAGCUGGAAGUGCAACUGGGAUCCCUUUCCUCCUCGAAUCCCCUUCCUCUUCUUCUUUCUUCUUCCUCUUCUUCUCUUUUUCUUUCUUUCUUUCCUCUCUGUUUCACGCCUGAGACUCCCCCUCUCUGUCUCUCGGUUUCAUUCCAAAAGCCACAGCAAACCCCCUAAUUAAAUCACAUCAAAACACUAUUCACCCCUUUUUUAAUAUUAUUA
rnacentral:lncRNA from 1 species